GUGUGGAUGAGGAGUCCAAGGCCCAGGAGGUUUUAGGGUUUACCCUGGGUCACACAGCCAGUAGAUGGAGGAGGGAGAAAGUCAGCUCAGUCUUGGGAUUCCAUUUCUCGUACUUAUUUCAUCAUUCCAGUGCUUCCAGAAAGCUGAGCAUGAAGCAUAAGACAAAGGCAUCUGCUAACUCAGGUGCCAUAAGUAUAUGAUUGCAAGAGGGAAA
rnacentral:lncRNA from 1 species